rnacentral:misc_RNA from 1 species
GUCAUUUGCACCCAACUUUGAUAUAGGAGUUUUCCUUGGAUAAGGAUUACUUGGUUUCCUCUUAGGCCGAGGUGGUGGAAUAUCUAUGUCAAGAGUCUGUCCUACAGGAAUCCCCUUGACAAGUGCUUCUUUUUCCAACUUUGAAAAGAACUUUUGCGCAUGACUUCGUAUCUGGACUGCAGUUUUGGUUCCAAUAUGUUCUUCAAUUCUCUGCCAUGCUCG